rnacentral:piRNA from 1 species
UGCGGAGAAGCCAACUGACUGCUGGAGC